rnacentral:sRNA from 12 species
GUAAAAAUAAGAUUUUGCCGAAUAUAUUCAUAUAGAUGAAUCUGUUAUGAAACAGAAA